UGUCAAAUAACAAAGGUCAGAUGUAACAGGGACACAAAAAUGUCACACGUUUGGACCCCUGAUUUCUGGAAUUACCUGGGUACCUCUAUGCCGUCAACACUGCCUGUACCAACUCAAAACUUCUUAACUAAGAGUUAUCUGGCCUUGUAAAAGUCUGCUCUUUUUAAAGAACAUAAAUGCAGUUAUUUUGUAAUCAGAUUCCGUUCAUGUUGAAGUAUUCCCCUCUUUUCACUGACAACAAUAAUUUAAUCUGUCGAUAAUCCUUGUAAAAUAAACUCCGUCGGUUUGGGGAUUGUCAUCCGUUUAAUUGAAAAGUUUUAUAAUUUUUGAAUGUGCGUGUAUUUACCGAAUGUCAAGUGAAAUGUGUGAGAGUGUACGUGACCUGUGAACAGUUUGAGCAGGGUUUUGAUGUUGAGAAUUGAUGUUCGUUUGUUAAUUUGAAUGCUGGCAACUUGUACAGGAAAGUGUCGUUGACCAGCAGUGGAUUGAUUUCAGUGUCACACCGAUUGGAAUAUGUUUUCAACGUGUACUUCAUGUAACUUUUUUUUUCGGAUGAAAUGCCCAAAUCUACAUUUUGCAAUAAUUCCUUGCGUUUUUAUCUUCGUAUCGUCAACUGUGAGGACACAAAGUGUUAUUCUGGGCACGACAUAUCUGUUUUUCUUAAUCUUAAUGCGAAAUAUUAUUUACACGUACCACUGAAAUUAUUGAAUGAAAAUUGUCAAAUAUGCCACCGAUGUUUGUACAUGGAUGAUACAAAGUAAGAACCGGGAUUAUUUUUAAGUUACUGUACAUUUUAUUAAUUAAGAGGUGGAGGAUUGUCUAUCAGGACUUUAAUGAAAAUGUGUUUAAUGGGAAAUUUUUAUGAUACAGGUAUAGGGGAAAAUAAUCUUUCAUAUUGUAUGGGAGUUCGUAAAGUUUAUAUCUAAGAACGAACAAACGUGGUACUUGAUAGUAUAUAGAGGGGACAUAUUUUGUGAGGACACUGAGGUCUGUAUUUCAACAGCCCUCCAUUCUGGAGGUUUUGUGUCAGCUAUCGUACAAAAUGAGAGGACUGUGUCCUGUGGCGUAGCUAGGAUUUUACGGGGGGGGGACACAAAUUGCACCAGCAUCUUAUGGGGUGGGGGCACCAACCUUCAGUGGUGCGUUUUUUUGGGGGGGGCAAGUUUUUGUGAGCCUUGUUCAAUAUUUAUUCAUCCGUUUUUUUAGUGGGGGCACUGGGAGGGGGGGGGCAGACCCCCUGUGCAUAAUUAUCAACCACGGUUAGCAGGAGUUUCAUUUUUUAUGAACUUGCUUAUUUUAGAUCAAGGUCCAUUCUGUAGUUUGCACACUUUCAACUCCCGAACCAUCCUUCUGAGCUAGAACUUGCUAAACCUCCUGUACUUUAGCCUCCUUCAAUUUUUCUAUAUUUGAUGGUUAAUUUCGAAUCUGCUGCUAUUUUUCAGGUGAUUCGGCCUACAGUUUUCUCAAAAGCAACUUUAAGCAAAAUGCUUUAGUCGUUAUCUCUUCUUCCAUCAAGGUUGUCCGCAUAAAUUACAUUUAUUUGCAAGGAAAUACGAAAUUGUAGUUAGAUUCUACAAUAUUUACCAGAAUUCAUUGGUUACAAAAUGACAAUGGUAAUUUUGGGUACGUUCCCUUCUGUUGUUUAGUGUUUUUGAGUUGCAUUGAUUGCAGUCGAAUACCAGUCGUUUUGCUCCAUAUACAAAUUUGAGACCUGUGCAAUGGGAGCAGCAAAUUUAGCAGGCAAGCUGUCAUCAAAAUGGUGACGUCAUACGUAAUUGACCAAUCAGAUAACAGUAUGGGAAUGAGCGACGCUGUUUUCUGCGCUGGACAAUCUUUGGCACGAGUAGCUCGGAUGAGAGACAUGCCGAACUUUGAGUGAAAAUGAUGCGUCACCAAGGUCGUCUGCUUGUCAUCUAUGACGUAGCCGUUUCAGGGUUUUUUUUUUGGUGGUCUGCCUCAAAUAUGUACUUGGUCAUUGCUGUGUUGUCAGAAACAUAAUUUUUUCUUGUUUGGGGUUUCGGAAACACGCCCCAGGUAAUGAGCCAGUCGAUGUGAGACCAAAUGAGCAUGUCAAAAAUGAAACUGCCUCCGAGGUCAUUCGGGAAAAAAUCAACCUGCACGCGCGAGGUCUGCCCUAUCAUCGCGAUCAUAAGGUCUCUCGUAUGGGUGUUGUGUUCACGAAUGACCUCGCGUAUUUCGAAUACCACACUGGCUCAUUGACUGGUCAGUACCGAAAAAUCCCGCUGGUGCACUGAAGAUUCCCACUUCAGUAAUCGUUGCUUACCAGUUAUCCGUUUGGUAGCCAUGUUGCCCAUUUUCAUCGAAAUUGAUAAAUUAUUUUAAACAUCAGGACAUUUGAUUCAAGACACGAAUUUUGCGUCAUUUGUAUGAGUUUGAAAUUCCAAGAUAUUUUCAAGGUAGCUCUGACUGAGGAAAAGCCUGAUAGAAGUGAUUACGAAUGUUUAAAAUUUAUCCGUGGUUGUAGGCGAAGCGGAUGUCAUGAUUGUAAGAAUUAUUGAAUGGAAACUAAAUACAUACACUUUCAUGGAAAAGAACAUGAAAGAUGUCUGUAAGGUUGUGUGGAGUGCCCCACUUGACGCUGAUUUUAUAUUCUAAUAACUAAAUAACGUCUGUACAUUCUGAGAGAAGAGGAAUAAAAGGAAGUAUGUCCAUCAGUGGGGAGAUAUGA